UACAGAGGUCUCAACCGUUGUUCGGAUUCAUUGGGCGUAAAGGGUGCGUAGGCGGUCGGGUAAGUCGGGUGUGAAAUCUCAGGGCUCAACCCUGAAACUGCAUUCGAUACUGCUUGGCUAGGGUACUGGAGAGGAGACUGGAAUUUACGGUGUAGCAGUGAAAUGCGUAGAUAUCAGGAGGAACACCGGUGGCGAAGGCGCUCAUCUGGCCCAAUACUGACGCUGAGGCGCGAAAGCUAGGGGAGCAAACGGG
rnacentral:rRNA from 1 species